rnacentral:rRNA from 1 species
CCAGACUCCUACGGGAGGCAGCAGUGGGGAAUAUUGCACAAUGGGGGGAACCCUGAUGCAGCGACGCCGCGUGAGUGAAGAAGUAUUUCGGUAUGUAAAGCUCUGUCAGCAGGGAAGAAGAAAGACGGUACCUGACCAAGAAGCCCCGGCUAACUACGUGCCAGCAGCCGCGGUAAUACGUAGGGGGCAAGCGUUAUCCGGAUUCACUGGGCGUAAAGGGAGCGCAGGCGGCACGGCAAGUCUGGUGUGAAAACCCGGGGCUCAACCCCGGGACUGCAUUGGAAACUGCCGGGCUGGAGUGUCGGAGGGGUAAGCGGAAUUCCUAGUGUAGCGGUGAAAUGCGUAGAUAUUAGGAGGAACACCAGUGGCGAAGGCGGCUUACUGGACGAUGACUGACGCUGAGGCUCGAAAGCGUGGGGAGCAAACAGGAUUAGAUACCCGCGUAC